ACGUACACUCCUACGGGAGGCAGCAGUGGGGAAUAUUGCACAAUGGGCGCAAGCCUGAUGCAGCCAUGCCGCGUGUAUGAAGAAGGCCUUCGGGUUGUAAAGUACUUUCAGCGGGGAGGAAGGCAAUACGGUUAAUAACCGUGUUGAUUGACGUUACCCGCAGAAGAAGCACCGGCUAACUCCGUGCCAGCAGCCGCGGUAAUACGGAGGGUGCAAGCGUUAAUCGGAAUUACUGGGCGUAAAGCGCACGCAGGCGGUCUGUCAAGUCGGAUGUGAAAUCCCCGGGCUCAACCUGGGAACUGCAUUCGAAACUGGCAGGCUUGAGUCUUGUAGAGGGGGGUAGAAUUCCAGGUGUAGCGGUGAAAUGCGUAGAGAUCUGGAGGAAUACCGGUGGCAAAGGCGGCCCCCUGGACAAAGACUGACGCUCAGGUGCGAAAGCGUGGGGAGCAAACAGGAUUAGAUACCCCAGUAGUCCCAUGA
rnacentral:rRNA from 1 species